GGAGAGGUGGAUGAGCGGUUUAAGUCGCACGCCUGGAAAGCGUGUUUGGGAUAACAUCCCAACGGGGGUUCGAAUCCCCCCCUCUCCGCCA
rnacentral:tRNA from 1 species